CGUCGCUGCCAGCUCAAAUGCCUCUAGGUAGGCCUUCACAUCAUCCUCCUCUGACGUCCAAGGCAGUCCCGGGCCGCCCCCUUCUCUUACUAUGGACAUCUGUUGUGCUUCAAUUUUUUCACAGAGAUCUUGUUAUCAGGCCCACAGCUGGAUUCUUGCUUCCACCUCCUGGGUCCGCACACUCACCAUCUCUUCCAGCUGAGCCUGCUGGCUCUGGAUGAGUCUUAACGUGAGGUUAUGCACCUGUUGCCAGUCUGUGGGUGCCUAGAGGUCCAUGAUGUCCAUUCUGCCUUCCACGUUCCUGGCCAAUGCACCACUUUGUUAGCAUGUCUGUGCAGGGUACCACCUAAAUCCCUUUGAUUCUCUCCUGCCAUGACUUUGCUCUAAUAAAGAAAUAGGGAGGGAAGAGACGUUGCCCUGGUUAGUGCCCGUGGAAGGACCACGCUGGUCAAACUACAAUUUAGGUGCUUUUAUUACUUGGUCUCUUACAGGAAAGCCCAGAGGGGCAGCAGUUUGUCCGAGUCAUCCCCGGGAUCACCCCUGCACUCCCAGGAGGAUCCCCGCCAACUUAAUUGUACUGUUAAUGGUGCUGGGUCCCGGUUGCUUCAGGGGCUGGGCGGAUGACCUCCAUCACUCUUUGCCUCCUUCAUUGCUUCGCGGCAUCCCAGCGCGAAGCUGCGGCUUUUGCUCAUGCUGUGGCUCCAUUCCCCUCUGGCUCACUGCCGCUGCUGUGGACUCCAGGAAAGUACCUUACACAUUGCAUUCUGCACCAAGUUUUCAUCCAUUUUGCUGAACCUGGGCCAUUUGCCAGCCAGGAAUGCAAGAAUCAUAGGGCUAGAACAAGAAAGGAGCCUGACUAUAGCCCAGACACUUAUAGGUCCUGCUGCUAGGAUUCUGUUUUUUUAACCAAUGACUGUCUAAUGUAACAUACAUAAACAGCUUUGACAGGCUAGCUGGCAGUGACCUAGCCCAGGAGUUUUGAAAGGGCAAAAGAUGAUUGGAGGACUUGGGAUUCCCUUUCCUCACCAAUCAGGCCCCAGAGACUCACCCCUCAUGUCCCCUGAUUGGCCCCUUGGGCCACCUGGAGGGGGAUAAAAGGGGCAGCACGGCUGACUCAGGGAAGAGACCAGUGAUGGACCACGAGGAAGGAGCUUCAAAGAGCUGGCAAGAGCUGAGCCAGCGGGGCGGAAGCAGUUGCCCCAGAAGAGCCUGAAGGAGCAGGACCUGCAGGCAGCAUUUGGACCUUUAGCAGCAUGGUGUGUGGCCGGCAGGAGAGGCUUCCUACUGGGCUCUAGGAUCCCCUACGAGAGGCUGUGGCCAGCAGGAGAGGCUUCCCACUUCAGCAAGGAUCUGAGCAGCAACCUGAGGGGUUCCCAGCUUGGCUUCCAGCUCCUCCAAUCAGAGACCAGGCAGCUCAACAUGAGGCUGGGGCUCCAGGAAGGUCAAGACCCCUAGCAGCUUGGAGUAGUACUAGCACUGGUGACUGUGGUAGUGUUUCUGCCUACCAUGUGGGAGAUUCAAGUUCUAGCUUUGGUGACUUGGGGUGAGUGAGCUAACAAGGAAAAAUUCCUCUUGCAGUGGAAAGGGGCCAUUGUGUUUUCUCCCCUUCCAGGUACCUAGGCCCUAUAUCUCUUUGUCCUUUGACAUUUUGUAUUUUGUGCCUUUUUAUGUUUCCCCAACCAGUAUUGUUUGCUCUGCUGUCUGUGUUUUAUAUUUUGUUAACCCUGUCUUUUGUCAAUGAUUGUAAGUGUCUAACCUUUGUUGAAUCCUGCCCCCUUGGGGCACUGUAGUGUCCACUAUAUCCCCUGAUUAUGCCUGUUAUGUUCCCAGUUUUGUUCCCUCAUUAAAAGGUAUAUGGUUAAGUCCCCA